UCGAUAAUGGAAGAUGCUUGGGUACUGGGAAGUGUGGACUACAAAAUACAAGAUUUAAUUAGUCUAUAGGAUAUUAAGUUAGUAGCUGAUUUGAUAGAGCUUAUUAUUAAAAGAUGGAUAGUUGAUCUAAUUACCAAUACCUUUAGUUAAAGGGAUGUAGAAAGAAUUCUUCGUAUUCCAUUGGCACGAUGUCCAUACAAUGAACAUAGGGUAUGGAAAGGUAAAGCAUCGGGCGAGUACUCUGUUCGUAGUGGUUACAAGCUUCUAGUACAAUGACUCACAAAUCUUAAUGCUAGUUAUAAUUAGAACACGAGAGAGAAUCUUUAUAAGAAAAUAUGGCUACUGAAUCAACCACUAAAAAUAAAAAUUAUAACAUGGAGAAUAGCCUGUAAUUUUCUUCCUACAUUUAAUAAUCUACAUCACAAAAGGCUGAUUGGAACGACAGUUUGUACUAGAUGCAAAGAGGAAACAGAAACAACAAAACAUGUGAUGCAUGACUGUCAAAUUACAAAGGAGGUAGAAACAACAGAACAUGUGUUUCAAACUAUUGCAGACAUGGGAAAUAGAGAAUGAAUUGCCUAUAUUUUUAACAGAAUUUGAAAAAUCAGUGUAGAGUAUUUGUAUGUGCUCUAAGGGCAAUUUGGAUGGACAUAAAAAAAUGGGUGCACGAAAGUGAGAAAAAAGAUGGAUUAGUCACUAAAAACUUUAUUAAGAAUUAUCUUAAGGAGUUGGAUAAUCUAAGCAAUAAGUUACCGGAGAAGAGGGAAGUGACUGAGUAAUGGAAGACACCGAAAAACCCAUGCGUUAAGUUAAAUUUUGAUGUUGCAUAUAGAAAUCAAGAAAAGAGGUCAUGUUCUAGUAUUGUUAUUAGGGAUUCAAGAGGAUAUGUGAUAGACUCGAAAAUAGUGAUUAACGAAAACAUACUUUAGGCGUUUGCGACUAAAACGUUGGCUUGCAUCCAAGCAAUGUUGAUGGAUUUGAAUCUAGGUAUAAGGGUGAUGGAGGUCGAAGAGGAUUUACUGACUGUGGUAAAGAAGGCUCAGAUGGAUGAGGAAGAUAGAUCUGAAAUUUCGGCCUACAUAAAGGAUGCAAAGAGUUUAAGUAAAGAAUUUCAUACAACUGAAUGGAUAAAAAAGGAUGGAACAAACUUAUCUAAUGAAUGGAGU
rnacentral:lncRNA from 1 species